GGGCGGAUAGCUCAGUUGGGAGAGCAUCUCCCUUACAAGGAGGGGGUCGUCGGUUCGAGUCCGGCUCCGCCCACCA
rnacentral:tRNA from 1 species